AUUGAACGCUGGCGGCAUGCCUUACACAUGCAAGUCGAACGGCAGCGCGGGAGCAAUCCUGGCGGCGAGUGGCGAACGGGUGAGUAAUAUAUCGGAACGUGCCCAGUAGUGGGGGAUAGCCCGGCGAAAGCCGGAUUAAUACCGCAUACGACCUACGGGUGAAAGGGGGGGAUCGCAAGACCUCUCGCUAUUGGAGCGGCCGAUAUCAGAUUAGGUAGUUGGUGGGGUAAAGGCCUACCAAGCCUGCGAUCUGUAGUUGGUCUGAGAGGACGACCAGCCACACUGGGACUGAGACACGGCCCAGACUCCUACGGGAGGCAGCAGUGGGGAAUUUUGGACAAUGGGCGCAAGCCUGAUCCAGCAAUGCCGCGUGCAGGAAGAAGGCCUUCGGGUUGUAAACUGCUUUUGUCAGGGAAGAAAUCCUCUGGGUUAAUACCUCGGGGGGAUGACGGUACCUGAAGAAUAAGCACCGGCUAACUACGUG
rnacentral:rRNA from 1 species